AUGAACGCUGGCGGCGUGCCUAAUACAUGCAAGUCGAGCGAACAGACGAGGAGCUUGCUCCUCUGACGUUAGCGGCGGACGGGUGAGUAACACGUGGAUAACCUACCUAUAAGACUGGGAUAACUUCGGGAAACCGGAGCUAAUACCGGAUAAUAUAUUGAACCGCAUGGUUCAAUAGUGAAAGACGGUUUUGCUGUCACUUAUAGAUGGAUCCGCGCCGCAUUAGCUAGUUGGUAAGGUAACGGCUUACCAAGGCAACGAUGCGUAGCCGACCUAAGAGGGUGAUCGGCCACACUGGAACUGAGACACGGUCCAGACUCCUACGGGAGGCAGCAGUAGGGAAUCUUCCGCAAUGGGCGAAAGCUUGACGGAGCAACGCCGCGUGAGUGAUGAAGGUCUUCGGAUCGUAAAACUCUGUUAUUAGGGAAGAACAAAUGUGUAAGUAACUAUGCACGUCUUGACGGUACCUAAUCAGAAAGCCACGGCUAACUACGUG
rnacentral:rRNA from 1 species